rnacentral:rRNA from 1 species
UACGUAGGUGGCAAGCGUUGUUCGGAAUUAUUGGGCGUAAAGGGCGCGUAGGCGGCAUGUUAAGUCGGCUGUGAAAUCUCGAGGCUCAACUUCGAGCUGUCGGUGGAAACUGUCUGGCUAGAGUCCGGAAGAGGAGAAUGGAAUUCCUGGUGUAGCGGUGAAAUGCGCAGAUAUCAGGAAGAACACCCGUGGCGAAGGCGGUUCUCUGGGACGGUACUGACGCUGAGACGCGAAAGCGUGGGGAGCGAACAGG